GACGAACCGUGCGAACGUUGUUCGGAAUCACUGGGCUUAAAGGGCGCGUAGGCGGGCAAGCAAGUCCGGGGUGAAAGCUUUCGGCUCAACCGGAAAAGGGCCUUGGAUACUGCUUGCCUGGAGGGAGGUAGGGGCAGAGGGAACUUCCGGUGGAGCGGUGAAAUGCGUUGAUAUCGGAAGGAACGCCGGUGGCGAAAGCGCUCUGCUGGACCUCUUCUGACGCUGAGGCGCGAAAGCCAGGGGAGCAAACGGG
rnacentral:rRNA from 1 species